rnacentral:rRNA from 1 species
GGGGCGGGUCCGCCCGCCGAUUGGACAAUUUAAACCAUUUGCAGUUGCAAUCAGCGUCUGAAAAAACUUAAUAGUUACAACUUUCAACAACGGAUCUCUUGGUUCUGGCAUCGAUGAAGAACGCAGCGAAAUGCGAUAAGUAGUGUGAAUUGCAGAAUUCAGUGAAUCAUCGAAUCUUUGAACGCACAUUGCGCCCCUUGGUAUUCCAUGGGGCAUGCCUGUUCGAGCGUCAUUUGUACCUUCAAGCUCUGCUUGGUGUUGGGUGUUUGUCUCGCCUCUGCGUGUAGACUCGCCUCAAAACAAUUGGCAGCCGGCGUAUUGAUUUCGGAGCGCAGUACAUCUCGCGCUUUGCACUCAUAACGACGACGUCCAAAAGUACAUUUUUACACUCUUGACCUCGGAUCAGGUAGGAUAAAGCUAACUUAAUGAAG